UACGGAAGGCAGCAGUGGGGAAUAUUGCACAAUGGGCGCAAGCCUGAUGCAGCCAUGCCGCGUGUAUGAAGAAGGCCUUCGGGUUGUAAAGUACUUUCAGUCGUGAGGAAGGUGUUAAGGUUAAUAACCUUAGCAAUUGACGUUAGCGACAGAAGAAGCACCGGCUAACUCCGUGCCAGCAGCCGCGGUAAUACGGAGGGUGCGAGCGUUAAUCGGAAUUACUGGGCGUAAAGGGCACGCAGGCGGUUAAUUAAGUUGGAUGUGAAAUCCCCGGGCUUAACCUGGGAAUGGCAUUCAAGCUGGUUAGCUAGAGUCUUGUAGAGGGGGUAGAAUUCCAUGUGUAGCGGUGAAAUGCGUAGAGAUGUGGAGGAAUCCAGUGGCGAAGGCGGCCCCUGGACAAAGACUGACGCUCAUGUGCGAAAGCGUGGGGAGCAAACAGGAUUAGAUACC
rnacentral:rRNA from 1 species